AGACAAUUGAAUUAAGGUCCAUGGAUUUUUAUAUUUUGUUCGUACGUUUUAUAUAACAUUUUAUUUUGACGACAACAAUAUUAACCGGAAACUCAAUAGCUUUUAGGCAAACAUGCUAAUGGGGCAAGGAACGCUAUCACGACACCGGUAGGAAGGAGGAAGGGGCAGGACUCUGUCCACACUUGCACCAACAAAAACCUUUGGCAGUUUGACGACACGAUCUCCCCUAAGAAGUUGGCUGAGGACAAGACGAGAUGUAAAAAUCGUUUUGAAGUAAUCCGGAGAAUUCACACUCGGUUCAUCUUUUUACGACUGCGUUGUGAAGGACAAGUGACCAACAGCUUUGACAAAAGUAUGAAAUUCGCAUUUCAUCCUUCAAACCGUUUUUACAUUAAUAUCCCUUUCAAAUAAUCUAAGGGAUUUAAAUUGCCAUACCAUCCAAAGCCGCCCUUCUGCCCCAAAUGUUAUCGGAGGUCAAGUAAUCAUGGCCUCUUCUGCAUGAGACUACGGGAGCAUCAGGCCAGGCCAGUGGAAUCAUAGACUAACUGGUCCUCACAGUAGUGUUGGUUUCAAAUACAUGAUGGAUAUUGUUACGCUUGUUGGAUGGAGAUAUUCUUGCAAGCUUCACCAGGUUGUUUGGCAGUCAGGCUACUGUAAACAUCCUUGACUGGAAGCUGGUGUCGGGUCUUGGAGCUUUCAGUCGGAUGUUUGCAGCAGCCACCUGCUAGUACCAUCUUACGGACACUGGACACUUCCAUAAAACACUUGGUGCUGGGGAUAAACAGACAUUUAAAAUGCUCUUCUAUUGGUGUUGUCCUUCAUGCGAUCAAAUAGGUAGAAAGCUUGCCGCAUGUUGAACAAUUUGGAAGACCAAUUUCCGUCAAGCUGGGCUUUCUGGCGCAGCAUAGGAAGUGUUGUAGGAGAUGUGCCUGGCGCAGUGACAAUUUAGUGGCAGAAAAUUCAUCAAAACUGAGGACUGCUCGGACCACAUCCAAGAUAGACAGCUGGUCUCCAUUGACAUACAUAAAUACGUGAACAGUGGGCAUCAAACCCUCUAAAUCAUUGUAGAAAUAUAUUAAUUAAAUGUUUAUAAAAAUAAUAAUAAUUAUUAUUAUUAUUCAUCCAUCCGUUUUCUAAUUUGCUUAUCCUCACGAAGGUCGCGGGCGUGCUGGAGCCUAUCCCAGCUAUCUUCAGGCAGUAGGCGGGGUAUACCCUGAACUGGUUGCCAGCCAAUCUCACGGCACACAUAGUCGAACAGCCAUCCGUGCUCACACUAACCCCGCGGGACAAAUUAGAGUGUUCAAUCGGCCUGCCAAGCAUGUUUUUGGAAUGUGGAAGGAAACCAAAGUACCCGGAGAAAAGCCACGCAGGCACGGGAAGAACAUGCAAACUCCAUAUCGGAAGGCCGGAGCCGGAAUUGAACUCUGCACCUCUGCACUGUGAGGCCGAUGUGCUACCCAGUCGUCCACCGUGCGACCCAAUUAUUAUUAUUAUUAUUAUUAUUAUUAGUCAUAGUAUUAGUAGUAGUAUAUGUUUUCAAUCACACUCCUGGGUGAUACAGCGAUGAUGAUCACUUCAAUGAUAGCUCCAAUUGCCCCCGCCGUGACGAGACAAUACUUAAAGGGAAUGAGAGGAGCUGCUUUGAUUGGCCAUGAUUUAAGUCAGUUGUGACCACUCCCACAACGGUUCAACCCUUCUCUCUCAGAUACGCCAAUAUCUGCCCAUGUACAGUACGUUACGUACCCCACACAUUUAUUGUAUUCAUAAAAAUAGAGCCCUUGUCUGUUUUUUUUCUUUUUUUAACCCAACCCCAAAAUCUGCACAAAAAUCAGUAGACUGUAGUAAUUUUUUAAGGUUUUUCCAGACUAUUCUUGGCUCAAAUGACAUGAGCCAAGAAUCCCUCCAGGUCAAAGCAGGACUGAUUUUUCUGGUUUAUAUGGCCCAAAAAGUUACUGUGUACUUAUAAUUUCUCUUCCAACAGACAAGAAAUAGUUGUCAUCCAUUUUGAAAUUCAGCAAAUGAAUUGUUCGUCAAUUGCUCAUGCAUUUUUCUUAUGUCAGAAGUUUCAGUUGUAGCUUGGCAGAACUUUUUUUCUUGGAGGUGGGGGGGGGGGGUCAUUCAUGGUCAUUUGCCUUUUUUUCUUUCUCUUUCCUUUUCCCUUCGGAUACUCCGACCUUUAUCCUAAACAAAGAGCAAAGAGACUAUUUUUAUUUAUUUGCAAAUAAAAAGGAUAGGUUAACCACGAGGCCAUCUGCCGAAACCUGAAUGGCACUGGUGCUUUAUUUUAGAAAUAUCAAUCCGCCAAAGCAAGCAAAAUGAAUAUCAAAAGUAAAAUCUUACACAGACUGUUGAGCGGAAACGUGUGAUUGCAUGCAGUAGAUACUUAUCUGUUCCCAGUGGAUGGGAGUGGCCUCCAUCCUCUUGAGAGAAAAGAACACAGAUUAAACAAAAAUGGUGGUAAAAGUUUGAAUAUCGAUUGAUGUCUGUGCCCAUUCGUCGCGCUGUGCAACACACAACAGGACCUCAGAUGUGGAAGGAAGGACGGAAGGAAGUAGCCGUGCCGUUAAUGCAAACAAUUUUCCCGCCACAUCCAUCACGUCUUGCUGUGGUUCCUGCAGGUUUCAUUUAAACACUUCUCUGCUCUCUUCAGUGUUUAUGGAAAAACUCGGGGAAACAACUUACUCAGAAAAUAUUGUCCAGUAUCAGAUAAUGGGUCUAUUUGCACAUGAACGAAGAGCAAGUAAAUCAGGCAUGUUUUCUUGGAUGUUUGUUCCUUUUUUAGAGGGGGGUGGGGGGGGGGGUGAAUGUGUCUCACUUCAAUACAGUGACUGCUGAGUUGCAGGAAGUGUAAACAUCCUACACUCUCGGCAUCCACCCCCUGGUGGCCGGGAGUGGGCCUGUUUGCACUGCAUGGCUCAGGAAUUCAGCUCCCGUUUGGGACUAGAGAGAGCGUAUAGGUGAUUAUUUAUUCCUAUGCUUGGGGCAAAUGACACAAUAGGCGCAUCCUGUUUAUACCGUGCACCUAAUGUUAUACUUUCUCAUGUUAACAUGAUUUAGAAGGAUGGGGGGAAAGCCCAUAUAAUCAAAACGGGUUGACAAAUUGUUUUGCAGGGAUCGCAUAUUAUGACAUUCUACAAAUGAAAUAAAAAGAAAAGACUAAAUUGUUUGAUUCGUGUUCUAAUGAAGUCCCACAUCCGUUAAAUGUAUCACUGCCGUCUUUGGUGAGGCAUUGCAAAUAUGAAAAUUAAUGCUGUUUAUGAAUUAUAAUGUGUAAAACGUACAGAGAUGCUGCUGAUCUGAAUAUUUUGGCUUUCAAAUAAAAUGGAUUGGAACAUU